CCUACGGGUGGCAGCAGUGGGGAAUAUUGCACAAUGGGGGAACCCCUGAUGCAGCGACGCCGCGUGAGUGAAGAAGUCUUUCGGUAUGUUAAGCUCUUUUAGUAGGGAAGAAAAUGACGGUACCUGAUUAAGAAGCGCCGGCUAAAUACGUGACAGCAGCCGCGGUGACACGUCGGGGGCCAGCGUUAUCCGGAUUUACUGGGUGUAAAGGGAGAGUUGUCGGCAGCACAAGUUUGGAGGGAAAGGCCGGGGGUUAACCCCGGAACUGCUUUGGAAACUGUUCAUCUAGAGUGGAGGAGAGGUAAGUGGAAUGCGUAGUGUAGCGGUGAAAUGCAUAGAUAUUAGGAAGAACACCGGUUGCGAAGGCAGCUUACCGGACUGUAACUGACGUUGAGGCACGAAAGCGUGGGGAGCAAACAGGAUUAGAUACCCCUGUAGUC
rnacentral:rRNA from 1 species